rnacentral:rRNA from 1 species
UACGUAGGGUGCAAGCGUUGUCCGGAAUUAUUGGGCGUAAAGAGCUCGUAGGCGGUCUGUCGCGUCGGCUGUGAAAACCCGAGGCUCAACCUCGGGCCUGCAGUCGAUACGGGCAAACUAGAGUACUGCAGGGGAGACUGGAAUUCCUGGUGUAGCGGUGAAAUGCGCAGAUAUCAGGAGGAACACCGGUGGCGAAGGCGGGUCUCUGGGCAGUAACUGACGCUGAGGAGCGAAGGUCAGGGGAGCAAACGGG